rnacentral:lncRNA from 1 species
AUGCGACCCACGUCAGCAGACUGACGAACCACUGCACUUGCAGGUCUCAGGAUGAAAAACACCCAUUCUCGCGAUUCACGAUAAAGCACAGGGCUUAAGGUCAAAUCAGAUGUGCUGUGUGAAAGCGUGUCAGCAUGAGUGCUUAAGGCAGAAGGAACUGUCUUUAGGCAGUGCCAGCCAGGACCUCGGGCAGGUGAGUGACGUAGUAGGUAAUGUUCUUGCCGAAGGGGUCUGACAGGUGCUUCGU